UGGGGAAUAUUGCACAAUGGGGGAAACCCUGAUGCAGCGACGCCGCGUGAACGAAGAAGGUAUUCGUAUCGUAAAGUUCUGUCCUAUGGGAAGAUAAUGACAGUACCAUAGAAGAAAGCUCCGGCUAAAUACGUGCCAGCAGCCGCGGUAAUACGUAUGGAGCGAGCGUUGUCCGGAAUUAUUGGGCGUAAAGGGUACGCAGGCGGUUUAAUAAGUCGAAUGUUAAAGAUCGGGGCUCAACCCCGUAAAGCAUUGGAAACUGAUAAACUUGAGUAGUGGAGAGGAAAGUGGAAUUCCUAGUGUAGUGGUGAAAUACGUAGAUAUUAGGAGGAAUACCAGUAGCGAAGGCGACUUUCUGGACACAAACUGACGCUGUGGUACGAAAGCGUGGGGAGCAAACAGG
rnacentral:rRNA from 2 species